UCUAUUUAAAGGAAAAGCAGAAAAACAGUGUGCUUAAGAACAGCUGUCAACAACCGGACUUCUGGGGAAAGUUUGUAAUUUCAAAUUGUUUUUCUCUCUCAUAAAAAUCCUCUAAUUGCUUAAUGAAUGAGCUCAAGCUGAGCCUGAGGAAGUUGUUGCCAUUCUAUGAAAAUCUCUGAUUCAGUGAAACAACUAAGGAAGGCAAGAAAAAGAAGAAAAAAAGGAAGUCCAGGCAUUCAAAACAGCAGAGGAGACCUUUGACACUCAUUGAGGUCCUACCCCUUCGUGAGUCAGCAAAACCUCCCGUUCCCCCCCAAAUCUCGGCUCCAUCUUGCCGGGCGUCUUGCUGCCGAGCCUGCUCCGUGCGCCGAGCGGGCUGAGCCGGGCCCUGAGGCCGCUCUGCCCCCGCCAGCCCUCGAAGCCAUAUCAAAUCCCUCAACAGCAGUGGCAAGCUGACCUAGAGGGAACAACAGAGAUCCAGCUGUCAGAGGACGUCUCUUCUCCACCCUGUGCCUCCAUUCGCUUUGGCCCUGAACCCAUCACUGGCAAAGCCCAGCUGCCUCUACCCUCACACCUUUGUCUCCCUGCUCUGCUCUCCCAGCUGUGAGGGGAAAAAGAAGGACUGAGCAGACCUCAUUUUGUCCAGAAAUCACGGAAAGAUGCAACACUCAGCAACUCCAAGUCAGUGGUUUGAUGCUCCUUUGGAGAGGCAGCCUCAAGUCCAGAGCGGUGACUACCCCCAGCAUCACGCAGGACACUGGUGUCCAGAGCAAACAUCACGCGCUGUCUCUACGGGGAGAGCCGGCAGCUGUGCAGAAGAGCCACUGCCUGUGGAUCACCCCACACCGCUUGGAUCUCCACCAGCAACGCAGGUGUUGUCCAAAAGCCCCGGAGACGCAGGAUGUGCACGAGGUCUGUGACUCAGCCGGGAUGUUUCCCUGGCACAUCCCUCCUACCCCGGAGCACAGGUGCUGCAGCUACCGGUGGAGUAGGACAUUCCCUCCUUGCUCAGCCUUUGCCCCCCUGCAGCAGUGCGUGACGAUGAAACGUGCUGCUUCUCAAGUUGGCCGUGACUUUGAAGAUAGGGGCUGUCUUUUACUUUUAUAUUUGCAGAGGGCCCGGCCAUACAGGACUCGGAGCCUGGCUGCGGGAAGUUUGGGCUCUUUAGUAGCAAUAAUAAAUAAUGAAAAAUGUAGUUCAUGUUUUGCUCUUCCAUUUGUGCCUUUUCAUCUUAACAUCUCAAGAGCCUGUUUGAAACCUUCAAUUAAACUUCCUGUUUGUUAUUCAAGAUUUGUGAGGGAGGAAACUGAGGCACAGGUGAGAAUUAUCUGAAGUGCUCUGCAGCUAUUAAGCUGCUUGAGUCACCUUGUUUAUGGAUGGUGAGUGCAGGAGACCUUGGGACUCAUUUCUGUAUUGCCCACAGUAAGCCAUGAAGGUAAUGGGGGCAGGCGGUUGUCUAUGUUUUUUGAAAACAUGUUGUAAGCCGACACAAAUGUAGGCAACUAUCAGUCGUCAGCUUUGAGAUUAAAAGGAAUCCCCCUCCUUCCUCGAGUCAGACUUAUCAUGGAGUUGCUAGUUGAAGAAGGUCUCUGGAGGUCGUGUAGUCCAACCUGCGGCUUGAGAUAGGACUGUUAUCAACAUUAGGUCAGGUCAGCUGUGGCUUUGUCUAGCUGAGUCUUCAAAAACUCCCAAGGAGGGAGAUCUCACAACCUCUCUAGGUACCAGAUCCAGUGUUGCACCACCUUUCUGAUGAAGAAGCUUUUCGUAAUGCCCAAUAUGAACUUGUCCAGCUACAACUUGUGGCUGUUGCCCCCUGUUUUACCACCUGCAUUACUGAGAAGGCUUUGGGGGCAUUUCUCUGUGUGAAGUAGACGUCACGGUCUCGCGUGACCUAUGAACCUCUCACCUAACAGAUUCACUGGCAGUGCAUGGCGUUGGUCCCUCCUCUGAUCUCUUGUUCUUCUCACAAGGUGCAGUGCAGUUUUGAAGUGUUCAGUGUCUUGCACCAAGUCUUAAGCCAAUCAGCAGCUGUUGCAUGGUGGUUUAUAUAGGUUGUGACACAUGCAGGGAAAACAAUAGCUGUUCAUGUCUAUCCGCCAAACAUAAAAUGAAACGGUUUCCUGUAGGAACCAGGAACCAAGAAGUUAGUCCUAUGGUUUCUUGAACAUUUGGCCUAAAUGUGGACAGUGGGCUCUGUUCUCAGGUGAAGUGUCAAAUAAUGCACGCUGUCAGUUGGUCUGUUGGUGCGAGUUGCCUAAGUAGGCCAGUUGCGGCAGCGAUGGUGAAAGCCCCAUGAGGCAGGUUGUAUUUCAUCACCUAAAGGGCUAAAACAGCACUGCCUGCAUGACACACCUUCGUGUAACUUGUAACGUGGCACAGCCAAAUGUGAGCAGAAGUGAGAAUUCCCACGCAUUGCGUAAGUGGCAGGUCGUUUGGGUGAGAUAACAUCAGUGAUUAUCGUUAAUGAGACAAUAUAUGGUAUCUCAGGUGUGGCUCCAGUGACACAGGUCAAAAUAUCAAAGCUUGGACCAAUUGUUUGGGGUAGAGCUGUCUGCAAUGGCAGAACACUGAAAAUAUGUUCCCCGUCCUUGUGAUGGUCGAGCAAAGGUUUGCAUAAUCAUCUGCACUGAUGCGAUUCCUGUUACUACAGCAGUGCUACAUAUUUAAAACCAAGAAAAAAUCAGUUCUGUUUUAAGAAGUUUGGUGGGCGAGGGAAGGUGUAGGAGGAAGCAGAGAAGCAUGCUUGCAGAAGGGAAAGGGAUCGUGUUGGCUGGAGUGAGCCACCCCAGUAACGCUGCAGCCUUUGUGCUAACACUGCGGCAUCAAGGCAUGGGCUAAAGUCUUUCUAGUGAUCCCCCGAAGCACCCAGAAGAACCCCUUGUCUCCCAGGGCUGCCAGCAGCCCUGCUGCUAGCUGCACAGCUCUCGUUUCAGCUGUGUCCUUCAGACCCUUCUGCGGCUGCCUUCCACCUUGCAAGGUGUCAGAGGGCUCCUGAUGUGGAACUGGCCCCUCCAGCCAGGUGCUUCUGAGCUGCCCCAGUCCCAUUUGGAUUUCCGCUGAGAGGAAAGCAUGCGGAUGCACGGAGAGUUUGAAGGAUCAGGCCAUCAUGUUGGGUUCCCACUGCUAGGGCCAAUUCCUUUCCCUACUUUAUGUUGCUUCAAAGCCCAUCAUGAUCUCUUUGGGGACCAGAGGCCAUAUGGGACACUCUGAAGCACCCCAACUGCAAGCGAUGACCUACUGCGAUGGAAAGGCUGCUGUUGUUGUUGUUCUUCUGCGGUGUCGGAUCCAUCAGCAGCCUGCCAAGGUGCCCUGGCCCCUAUCCCCAGGGUAGACACAGGGAGGAGCAAAGAUGAUUCAUG